rnacentral:rRNA from 1 species
GGGACACGUGGUAUCCUGUCUGAAUAUGGGGGGACCAUCCUCCAAGGCUAAAUACUCCUGACUGACCGAUAGUGAACCAGUACCGUGAGGGAAAGGCGAAAAGAACCCCGGCGAGGGGAGUGAAAAAGAACCUGAAACCGUGUACGUACAAGCAGUGGGAGCACCCUUUGGGGUGUGACUGCGUACCUUUUGUAUAAUGGGUCAGCGACUUAUAUUCUGUAGCAAGGUUAACCGAAUAGGGGAGCCGUAGGGAAACCGAGUCUUAACCGGGCGUUAAGUUGCAGGGUAUAGACCCGAAACCCGGUGAUCUAGCCAUGGGCAGGUUGAAGGUUGGGUAACACUAACUGGAGGACCGAACCGACUAAUGUUGAAAAAUUAGCGGAUGACCUGUGGCUGGGGGUGAAAGGCCAAUCAAACCGGGAGAUAGCUGGUUCUCCCCGAAAGCUAUUUAGGUAGCGCCUCGUGAAUUCAUCUCCGGGGGUAGAGCACUGUUUCGGCUAGGGGGCCAUCCCGGCUUACCAACCCGAUGCAAACUGCGAAUACCGGAGAAUGUUAUCACGGGAGACACACGGCGGGUGCUAACGUCCGUCGUGAAGAGGGAAACAACCCAGACCGCCAGCUAAGGUCCCAAAGUCAUGGUUAAGUGGGAAACGAUGUGGGAAGGCCCAGACAGCCAGGAUGUUGGCUUAGAAGCAGCCAUCAUUUAAAGAAAGCGUAAUAGCUCACUGGUCGAGUCGGCCUGCGCGGAAGAUGUAACGGGGCUAAACCAU